rnacentral:rRNA from 1 species
UACGUAGGCAGCAAGCGUUGUUCGGAGUUACUGGGCGUAAAGAGUGCGUAGGCGGUCCUGUAAGUUUGGUGUGAAAUCUCCCGGCUCAACUGGGAGGGUGCGCCGAAGACUGCAGGGCUUGAGUAUGGGAGAGGUAAGCGGAAUUCCUGGUGUAGCGGUGAAAUGCGUAGAUAUCUGGAGGAACACCGGUGGCGAAGGCGGCAUCCUGGACCGAGAUUGACGCUGAGGCGCGAAAGCCAGGGGAGCAAACGGG